CCGUACUUCGAAGCAUGUCAAACACUGUUUAAAAUCAAUUUUUAUGCAAUUUUUCUCGUAAAAAAGCGAUAAUAUUCCGACCGGGAAACCCUGUUUUCAUUCAAAGACGAAAAAAUUAAAACAUGGUGUCGGCUCGUGCACGCGCCCCCAGUCUCAUUGUUCUCAGAUCGACCACUAUCCAAAUGUGCUACUGUUUUUCAGCCAUGGCCUGCAAAGUCACCAUUCAACUUUCUGGCGCCUUCUGAGAGCCUAAGGAAGCGUUUGAAAAUGUCACGUUAUGCCAGAGAUCCCCUGUUUUGGAUAGAGAUGAUCAAGAAGGCCAAGAAAUAGUCAGAGAGAGCGCUUCCUGUUUGGAAUCUUCUCAGAUUUUGGCCUGCCAAAUGAGUUCUGUUAUACUCACAGACACCAUUCAAACAGUUGUAGAACCCUUAGGGUUUUUUCUAUCCAAAUCAAACAAUUAUAUGCAUAUUCUAGUUACUGGGCAGGAGUAGUAACCAGAUUAAAUCGGUGUUUACUCACCUCGAACUGGAUGAAGAUUUGUUCUUUAACGAGUCCGACGCAAAGGAUAUACUGCUUUCUCAGGAAUGACCCCAAAUCCCCAUCAUUUGCGUGAAAAAGGGGGCGGAGGUCGGGCUGCCUUCUGAGAAUUCAUAGGCGAGUGAGUAAACCUCCACUACCAUCUGUUCUAUUGGCCAUCGUGCAAGAUUAUCCUACCAAUGGGACAUUAAAAACUGUAAUAUCUUAUGUUUCACAGAGUCGUGGCUGAACGACGACACGGAUAAUAUAGAGCUGGCAGGAUUUUCCAUGCAUUGGCAAGACAAGGAAGCUACGUCUGAAACAAGAUUCUCUGGUCUGACGAAACCAAGAUUGAACUCUUUAGCCUGAAUGCCAAGAGGCAUGUCUGGAGGAAACCAGGCAUCACUCAUCACCUGGCCAAUACCAUCCCUGCGGUGAAGCACGGUGGUGGCAACAUCAUGCUGUUGGGAUGUUUUUCAGCGGCAGGGACUGGGAGAAUAGUCAGGAUCGAGGGAAAGAUGAACGGAGCAAAGUACAGAAAGAUCAUUGAUGAAAACCUGCUCCAGAGCACUGAGGACCUCAAACUGGGGGCAAAGGUUCACCUUUGAACAAGACACAAAGGUUCACCUUCGAACAGGAUGAAGACCCUAAGCACACGGCCAAGGGAACGUUUCCAAUUCAUGAUACAUUUCUGUUGUAUGUGUGUUUGCCAUUAAUCCCUUGUCAAGUGUGUACCCCCUCUACAGGCCAAUGGAGAAUACAGUUGAAAGGAAUACAUGCUCCAAGGCCUACUGGGAGUGCUGUUCCAAUCUAGUCCUUUAGCCAAAGUGGCAAGUGGUGAAAUGUUAGUCUUGAUGCUACAAAUCCAAUGUCCAGAGUUGGAUUCAAGUUGAAAAAUAAUAAUACAUUUAUUUGUCGUUCUUCUGGAUACAAAAAAUGUAUAUAAUUCUACCAAAACUAAUUCUUAUCAUUAAACUAAAGAAGCAAACAGCAUGGUAAACAUGGUCUGGUUUGGUCAAAAGACUGUGUGCUGCCAUUCCAGUCGUAUUUUGACAGUUAUAUUAGCCAUUUAGCCGCUACACUUAGUCAAAAUACUCCGCUGGAAAAUACUUCCUUGGAAUUUAAAAACUGGAUUGUUUGGAAGGACGCAUAGGAUCAAAGCACUCGCGCAGCCUCAAGACUAAAGUACAGCGUAGAAAAUACGCACUUGUGUAUAUAAAGCAGCCUAACAAGCGCACACACUUUUGGAUGAUUAGUGGGUACAUUUGAGUGUAUGGCUACACUUAUAAUGCAUUCAAAGUAUGGAAAGUUUGCUAUUGGAGAGACUUAUUUGGACAAAGGAUUGAACGCAUAGAAUCCGAUUUCCAAACCCUGCUGCCUAAUUAAUUGAAGUGUGAAGAUUAACGAUAUAGUGACACUGUUAAAGGAGCGCAGGGCUUAUUGAUCUAUGUUCAUGGUUGCAAAUCUAAAUAUAUAUUACUGUGAUAGCCGAUUGAGGGAAUAUGGCUGAAGAGAAUGCUACCACUGCAGAUAGCGUUGUGUAUGUGGGCGACAUGGCGCUACGAGAAGAACCUUUAUCAGAAAAGGCCUCAAAGGAGGAAGUUUCCCAAAUGCGCAAAUCCAGAAGAGGUAAACUGGGAAAGCUGACUCGCAAAAUGAACAUUGUUACUGAUCUAAUGACCGACAAUAAGAAUAUUGAAGUUG
rnacentral:lncRNA from 1 species